AAAUGGCAGCGGCAAAGAGAUGAGGCAGUAGCAAAUGCAUAGAAAACGGCGGCCCCGUGGCAGGUGAAACUUCAUAAUUACUGAGGAUCAUCUACUGUCAACCGGUCUAAAAUGAGC
ensembl:ncRNA C03A3.5 ncRNA